rnacentral:rRNA from 1 species
AUUGAACGCUAGCGGGAUGCUUUACACAUGCAAGUCGAACGAGUGGCGGACGGGUGAGUAAUAUAUCAGAACGUGCCCAGUAGCGGGGGAUAACUACUCGAAAGAGUGGCUAAUACCACAUACUAUUGGAGCGGCCGAUAGCGGAUUAGCUAGUUGGUGGGGUAAAGGCGCACCAAGGCAACGAUCCGUAGCUGGUUUGAGAGGACGACCAGCCACACUGGAACUGAGACACGGCCCAGACUCCUACGGGAGGCAGCAGUGGGGAAGAUUGGACAAUGGGGGAAACCCUGAUGCAGCCAUCCCGCGUGUAUGAGAAGGCCUUCGGGUUGUAAAGUACUUGUGGCGGGGAAGCGGUAUCUGCAGAAUAAGCACCGGCUAACUACGUGCCAGCAGCCGCGGUAAUUC